rnacentral:snRNA from 1 species
GGAUGUGAGGGCAAUCUAGCUGAGAUAUCUGUCACCCUGUUAAUCACCAGGGGUGAUUCUGCUGAUCUGGCUGGUUAUAUGGGUGUCCUCUUCCUCCCUCAGUGCUCUGUGUGUGUCCUUCACGAAACUGCAUGCUCGGUCAACCUUCCCUGAAUAGAGGAGGACUCGUCUUCGGUCAAAGGUACAAGUGUAGCUGAGAUCCCCCAUUAAGAACCUCUAAACAAGAAAUGUCCAUGUUCAUGGAGGCUAGAGAGAUGGCUUAGCGGUUAAGGCUCUUGCCUGUGAAGCCAAAGGACCCAGGUUCGGUUCCCCAG